CAGUGGCGCAAGGGUGAGUAAGGCGACGGCAACCAACCCCAGGGUCGGGCAUAGCCGGGGGAAACCCCGGGUAAUUCCCGGCGACGUGGUCGGAGGGCAUCCUCCGGACACCACAGGUGCGAUUCCGCCCUGGGACGGGCCGUCGUGGUAUUAGCUUGUUGGCGGGGUAACGGCCCACCAAGGCUGCGAUACCUACCGGGCGUGCGAGCGUGGCCCGGCACACUGGGACUGAGACACUGCCCAGACUCCUACGGGAGGCUGCAGUCGAGAAUCUUCGGCAAUGGGCGCAAGCCUGACCGAGCGACGCCGCGUGGAGGACGAAGGCCUUCGGGUUGUAAACUCCUGUCGAGGGGGAGGAAGGCGACGCGCAGAGCGUCGCUUGACCGAUCCCUGGAGGAAGCACGGGCUAAGUUCGUGCCAGCAGCCGCGGUAAGACGAACCGUGCGAACGUUAUUCGGAAUCACUGGGCUUAAAGCGCGUGUAGGCGGGCAGGCACGUCGGUCGCUGAAAGCCCCCGGCUCAACCGGGGAAGUGGCGCCGAUACGACCGGCCUGGAGGGGCGUAGGGGGGACUGGAACUUCCGGUGGAGCGGUGAAAUGCGUUGAGAUCGGAAGGAACGCCCGUGGCGAAAGCGAGUCCCUGGACGCCAUC
rnacentral:rRNA from 1 species